CUCGCAGUAUGACACGGAACACGCACAAGAGAGACUUGACAUUCUCUCCACAGACAUGUCUCUCUCUCUCAGUCUUUGCCAUUGGACAUGACUGCACAUCCCUUCCAGUCAGGUGACUUCAUUUUAGUCCAGACCUAUCAAAAAAAGCCACUGCAGCCUCUCUGGAAAGUUCCCUUCCUGGUUUUGCUGACUACUCCAACAGCUAUCAAAGUUGCUGAGGUCGACUCUUGGAUCCACUACUCCAGGUGUAAAAGAUACAGCCCAGACAAAGAAGCAGCCUGCAACAAGCCAAAGAAAGAAGAAGCUGGGGCAACCAAGGCCUCUGAAGAAGGGGUAACCAAGACCCCUGACGACGAUUGGUUAAUUCAGACCCUUCUGGGUUUGAAACUCAGACUAACCAGAAAUAGUGAAAUCUCACUAGCUGAAUGAGUGAAACUGAAAGAUCUGUCUUUCUCUUAUUUUCAUUGUCUCACUCCUCUGUUGAUAUCUUGAGUAACAUCCCUCAAUAUGUCUCCUUUGUUUUGUGUCACACUUUUGACCAUGCUCUCUUACUCUAUUUCCCAAUAUGUGUCUUCUGGUCAGUGUGUUUGUCCUAACCCCUUUACUAAAUACUCUUGUUCUGGUAACCUUGUAUCUGUGGUAGUUUUUCCUCCUACUACUAGCUGCACUCAACAAGUAAUUAUACUCAAAGUUCGUAUUUAAAGGUCCUAAGGGGUUUGUUAUCCAGUCUAUUUGCAUAGCCCCACUAGUGAAUGUGGUUUGAAAAUUAUGAAGUGGGUAGCUGAGAAAUGAAAGUCACCCCUUCUUGCUUGACGUUCCCCUGUAACUACAAUUGCCACAACCCCUAUUUACCCCCACAAUUCUUUCCCCCAUAAUGAUAAUUUACCUAAUGCCCAAUUGUCCACAGAGAACUAUUCUUUAGGUGAAUGGGGACUAAACUCACACGUUGUCCUACUCCAAACUAUAGCCAAUCACACAGAGGGCAAUUGUUAUAUUUGUGCUCGCAUUCCCACUCAUCAUAAGAGGGGUAUUCCUCUUAUGGGUAUUAAUGUUGAUUUGUUUACCUUUGAUUUGUCUACUUUUAUUCCUCCAGGUACACCAUUGUUCAACCCAUCAGGUAAUUUUAUCUCUUUGGGAGGCACCUCAUAUGGUACUAUCUGCAGGGAAAUUGGCCAAGGUGCGGUUGGGUGCCUCCCUAUGUGAGUAUGUAAUCUCCAGUAAUGGCACUCAUUUCCAGCUGGUAAAUUUCUCUGGAAUGAUCCUGACUGUGAAUCAUAAUCUCACUGCAUUUUUUUUGUUUCCUCCAGGGCCCCAAUUGUACUUUUGUUUCCCCAUCCCUUGUACAAUCUUUCCUCAGCAGACCACCCCCUGGGUUGUAUUUAUAUGUGGACAGACAGCGGUGUCAGUCCUCCCUGGUAACUCUACAGCCAUCUGCUUCCUGGGUGUGGUAACCCCAGCCAUCCGUGUUGUCCCCACGCUGCCCUUGGGCCCAAUUCGCAAUAAACGUGAAUCUGAAAGCUUGCUGCCCCCCUUGUCCAACAGUAUGCUGGAGAUUCAACUGGUCGAGCUAUCCUCCCGGCCGUUGGUGUCUACCUGAAUCAUCAGGACAUCAUCAUGUUAUCUGUGACACUACAGACCUUCAUGAAUGAGAGUGCAGGAGUUGUUCAGAGUGUGGCCCAAGAGUUGAAGCAGCUUAGACAACUAGCAUUGCAGAAUAGGAUGGCCCUUGAUUACCUCCUGGCUUCCCAAGGAGGGGAGAGGAGGGGGGGUGUAGUCUUGUGAGAAAAGAAUGUUGUACCUAUGUUACUGAUCAAUCACUUAAUUUGAGUCACCAUCUCACAGUUAUUAGGUCCCUAUCCCAGGAUGUCCAAGAUGUGAUUGAUGACAAAUUUGGCCUUGGAGGUAUUUUUGACCAUCUAUUUGAUUGGCUACCUAAUUUGGGAUGGUUACACUACCUUUUUCUGUAUGGCAUUGUUAUUAUAGUAUGCCUUAUCCUGUUGUGUUGAUGUAUACAAUGUGUACCUGGUUUAAUUUCUACAUGCAAGAGUGUUUUCUCUGUGUCCCAUUCUUCUCCCAAGUACUUGUUUCCCUCUAUCCGUUUUGAAUCUCCCCACCAUGUUGAGAUCUCUCUUGACCCUGAUUUCUUCUGAGUUCACCUACUUCUCUCCUACUCUAUGUCUCUUUUGACCUCUUGAUCUUACAAUGUUAUUAUCUACCCACCAGCUGUGCCCUAAAAUUCCCUGUCUUAUCCCUAUGCAGGAUGCACUACGUCCCUAGGAUCGUCUAGAACUUUCCUACAUUGGGAAACUGGCCACGGAGAGACCAUGGACCAUCAUCUACCUUGAUGGCCACCCCGGUCGUAGCCUGUAUACCCAUAACCCACUCCUUUUUCCCUCCCUGGUGGUUUCUAUUUCUUCAUUGUCUUUCUGUAUUGUUUUAUUUUGCUUUCAUAUUGCAUUACCUUAUACUUACACUCUCUAUAUUUCCUUCACAGGUGCAGAAUUCCUUCACCUCCCAAACAUGCCAUGAUACUGCCUGACAACCCACUAUUCGCCAUCAACUCUGCAAGAAUGAUGGGGAUUGUUAAUUGUUGUUAAUAAAUAUGGGAGGGGAUGUUUCUGCACUGUCAUGCCACACACACAUUUACAGCAUAGGAAUGUUUAGGUAGUUGUCUACUCCACCCGAUGGCGACUAGCGUCCGGUAAUAGCGGAAUUGCCUACUACCUAAUAACUUCACUCCUACCUUGUUUUUGCUUACCCUCUUGUAGUCCUGUGAACCAUCUUGGACGCGAGCAACCAUGUACUAAUAGCAUUGUGAUUGUAAUUGUCAAACCGCCAUGAGUCACAUUAAGUUUUUGUGAUCGCAGCACUUUGACGUUUGCGAUCAAAGGGGGGAAUGUUAUGAGCUGCUUAUUCUAUUUUCAUUAUUUUAUAUGUUUAACCAAACUUUUCCUUUUCUUUUACUGAACUCUUCUCUGAAACUGCAGAUAUAUUACUUCUGUAUUUUCCAGCAAUUCACUCCUGACCUAAUAAGUGAUGUAUCUUUAACAACUUGCUUUUAGCCUAAAAAGUAUAUAUCAGUACAUCUUAAAGUUAUGGCUUCUCCCAUACAUUGUUUUUUUAAAUAUCUGAAACUCAAGGUAAAAUCCAAGGCUUCUCUCUACAGUAUCAACUUCUCAAUCCAAUUAGCCAGCUAGCCUCUGGUCACAUUCCAAGAAAACAUAUCUCCCAAAUUUUAACAUAGAGGACCUGUUUUUUUUCUUCCUUUCCUAGUAACCACUAAUCAUGUGAGAUUUAUUGGCCAAUCAUUAUCAGCCAAUUAGCUCUCUGCUUUGUAAGUUACUGUAAUAGUAUAAAAAUGCAUGUAUAUGAAAAUGUGUUAGUCUUGCGUUGCUGUUUUUUGUUCUGGGACACUGUUGCAACAGUGUAAUAAAGAUUACCUCUCCUGAGGUGAGCCCUUGUUUGAUAAAUA